rnacentral:rRNA from 1 species
UACGUAGGGCGCGAGCGUUGUCCGGAAUUAUUGGGCGUAAAGAGCUCGUAGGCGGCCGGUUGCGUCUGCUGUGAAAUCCCGGGGCUUAACCCCGGGCGUGCAGUGGAUACGGGCCGGCUGGAGGCAGGCAGGGGAGAAUGGAAUUCCCGGUGUAGCGGUGAAAUGCGCAGAUAUCGGGAGGAACACCGGUGGCGAAGGCGGUUCUCUGGGCAUGUACUGACGCUGAGGAGCGAAAGCGUGGGGAGCGAACAGG